rnacentral:rRNA from 1 species
UGGGGAAUAUUGCACAAUGGGGGAAACCCUGAUGCAGCGACGCCGCGUGAAGGAAGAAGUAUUUCGGUAUGUAAACUUCUAUCAGCAGGGAAGAAAAUGACGGUACCUGACUAAGAAGCUCCGGCUAAAUACGUGCCAGCAGCCGCGGUAAUACGUAUGGAGCAAGCGUUAUCCGGAAUUACUGGGUGUAAAGGGUGCGCAGGUGGCAUGGUAAGUCAGAAGUGAAAACCCGGGGCUCAACCCCGCGGACUGCUUUUGAAACUAUCAGGCUGGAGUCCGGGAGAGGUAAGCGGAAUUCCUAGUGUAGCGGUGAAAUGCGUAGAUAUUAGGAGGAACACCAGUGGCGAAGGCGGCUUACUGGACCGGGACUGACACUGAGGCACGAAAGCGUGGGGAGCAAACAGG